rnacentral:ncRNA from 1 species
GCAGAGUAGAAUUUUCCGCGUCAAGUGCCGGCUGAACAGGGAGUUGUCAGCCGGACGAAAGAUCCCCUGGAUCUGCGGUGGAAAGUUCGCAUCCCGCUGC